GUUCCCGCUCCCUCCAUCUGCUAUUUCCCGCUCACUCCAUCCAGUCCCGACAACGAAGUCAACCAUAGCAAUCCGCGAAGUCGACCGUAGCAAUCCGCGAAGUCGACAUCUGCUAGUUCAGCUCCACCUCCUUCCAAUUUUUCUUCCUCCUCCGUUGCUCAGAUCCUAAACUCUAAUACCCAGAAAUCAAUCAGAUCUGUUUGUCUCUCACUUUGUGGACUGCAUCUUGUCGAUCUCCACUCUCAAAACAGAAUGAGAGAGCAGAAUCAGAGCAGAAGAAAGCAGAAAAUCUGAUAGCGCUGGCAGAAAAGAGAAAGAGAGAAAAUGAGAAGCUUCACUCAGAAAUAAUUGAAUUGAAAGACCAGCUCCAAGCCAAACAGGCAGUGAAUGAGGAUUUUGAAGCCCAGAAGAAAAUUAAAGCACUUGAACAAGUGUUAAAGGAGAAGGCGCAUGAGCUUACUGAUCUGUCAGAAUUUUACAAUCCACUGAUUUUCAAGGAGAGGAGCAAUAAUGAUGAGCUGCAGGGGGCCCGUAAAGAGUUAAUUGAGAUCAUUGAGUUAAGAGAAAGAAGACGAGAGACUGAAGAUCUUGGUUGAACAAGGGUGCAUUAUUGGACGAACAUAUAGCAGAACAAACUGUGGUACUUUGAAUGAGAGAGGGAGAGCAAAUCUGUGGUUUUGAUGGGUUUCAAUGUCCCUUAAACGCCGUCGGUUCACUGUGAUCUGAACCAUCUCCACUCUUCGCUUUAGGCUAUCCAAGAGUAGAAGAAGAGUGGCUUUCUAGGUCAGUGACAGAGCUCCUACAUUUGAACUAGCAUUGUGAAACCUCUUGGCUUUAAAUUUAUGGUUUGACUACAGCUCCUACCUUUUUGUUCAUUACCUUAUGAUGUUCCCUGAUUGCACACUUUGCAGGUAUUUCAAAGGUCAUGAGCUCCUUGUUUAUUUACAAGAUUAUGACUAUUCUUUGGAAUUCAUAUGAGGUGUUUAUGUUGGUGUAGAAGAGGACGGAAGCACUGAAGAUGAUGAUGGUUUAGGAGAUGCAUGGUUGGAAAUGUCAAUGGCAUUAGAAUCUUCAAAGGAUGUCGCUGUACAUCCUUUAUCUGAUCGAAGAAAGAAUGAGUGAAGGCUACAGUGAGCAUUCUUUUGUCUUCAGCUGGGACGAGUUGAAGAAGCAACUAGGUGCUUAGCUGACAUGCACGAAGUAAGUAAACUGGGAUUGCCACUAAAUCAUGAUAUUGUCCAGGUUUAAAGCAUCCAUUCUGUUUCACAACAUCUUCAAGUUCUUGGGAGGUCCCGGCAAGGCUU